AGCGAACAAGUACCGUGAGGGAAAGUUGAAAAGUACUCUGAAUAGAGAGUUAAAUAGUACGUGAAACCGCUUAGGGGUUAAGCCCGAUGAACCUGAAUAUCUGAUGUGAGAAAUUCAAUACGAUUCAAAUUCAUUUUUUAUAUUGGAUUUGUAUAGUAUGCACUUUUCUCAUAGUAAGACAUUGUAAUCCAUUGAUAUUAUAUCUCAUAUGAGAUGAUUUAACAUACGGACAAAAUGUUUAUGAUUAUUCUAUCAGUGAUAUGUUUACAUAUCAUAUGGAUAAAAUCGUUUUGUUUCCUGUUUAAAUAGUCGAUGGAUUUUUCAUUGAAAUCAUGCUUGCAAUUUAUUUUGCGUUUCGUAUUAUUAAUUUUUAAUUGGUGAUAGCAGAAAUGGCAUGUAUUCGAUUAACAAUGCGAUAGAUUUGGGAUACUUUCAGGACCCGUCUUGA
rnacentral:rRNA from 1 species